AUCCGGAAGGUGGUCGACCGUCGUAGAAACAUGGAUGGAAUCUGGUUACUGUAGAAAUUCCAUUGUCGGAGAAGCUCGGAUAUUGAUGAAGUCCGAAAGAAGUUUGGAGUAGAGUCGUCCGUGGCCAGAAAAAGUCUAGAAGGGAUUCGGAGAAUAGUCGAUCAUUGUAAAAAAUUGGCUGAUAGUGAAGCCCAGAGAAUAUUUGGAGCAGUCCGGUAGAUGAAUGGAGAAGCUCAUUAUCAAAGAAGUCCGGAUGGUAUUAUGAAAGCUCAGACGGUCGAGGAAGUUCGGAAAGAUGCUACACA
rnacentral:lncRNA from 1 species